rnacentral:rRNA from 1 species
GACGUAGGGCGCGAGCGUUGUCCGGAUUUAUUGGGCGUAAAGAGCUCGUAGGCGGCUUGUUGCGUCGACCGUGAAAACCCGGGGCUCAACUUCGGGCUUGCGGUCGAUACGGGCGGGCUAGAGUUCGGUAGGGGAGACUGGAAUUCCUGGUGUAGCGGUGAAAUGCGCAGAUAUCAGGAGGAACAUCAGUGGCGAAGGCGGCUUCCUGGACCAAUACUGACGAUCAGGUGCGAAAGCGUGGGGAGCAAACAGG